AAGACGGGAAGCCUCAUACCCGGUACGGGGCUCGUCCUAUCAAGAUGCCAAAAUGCGUCGACCCAAGAAGUUCAACAUGGUGCCCGCAUUGAUUGGACUGAUUUUCUACAAAAAUGGAUUCAGUUCGGCAGUAAGCAGAGUAAUUUUUUUUCUUCAAAAUUCAAUAUUGCAAAAUAAACGGAGUUUCACUGAAACUGCCGAACUUGGCUAAAAUAAGCCUUCGUACUAAUUACCUCACACUUUGUUUACAUGUACGCUUUCUUAUGGGAGCCAGUUCGGGACACUGCUUUGUAGUCCCUUACAAAAAAGCACUUGUAAACAAAGUGUUACGACAUCAGUACAUAGGCUCAUUUGACCCAUCUCAAAUGGAUGCUGCCACAAUUAUUGUUUAUAACCUCCUCUUGCAGGUUCCCCUGGUGCCUUUCAUACAACUGGCCUGUGUAACGGGUCGUAUUCCACGAGAUACAUUGACAGAUAUGGUCGCGGAUAUGACGAUGAAAUCCGAAGGAUGAAAAAAGCUAUCGAGGUAGCAUUGGAACUAGGAUCAUCCAUUCCGGAUCCGAUGGCAAUGACAGAAGCAUCAGAAUCUGAGGAGUUUGACUCGAACGAAGAUUCCUCGGACGGAAGAUAGCUCAGGAGCGGAUGACGGUGAAAGCGAUGGUCCUGAUGACCAGCACUGACGGUACAUAGACGCCCUAGCAAUAUUGAUCAUAUUUAUCCGAAGAAGUUCUUCCACGAUUGAAAUUCGUGUACAAAACCAAUGAGAGAUGUUACUAAAAAGUUUGAGCACAAACAAAGGAAUCAGGAUAGGGACAAUAGGGGGUCCACGAUUGAAGCUAAACACACACUUGCAGGUUUUUCUCCACAAACUCAUUUCUAGUUAUAUUUCUGUCGUUGAUUAGUUUGGUUUGGAUGUUGCAGAUGGACCACAUGGAUACGUACUUUGCUGGGACAACGUCCAAGUGUCUGUUGAGAGGCGGCAUCGUACGUCAAUCUUCCAAAACCGCCUCUUACAGUGGGGUCUCGCCUUCGCAGCGAUAAAAUCGUAUCAACUGCGUCAUAGAGACCAACACCGGCAUGAACACAAUACACGCACAGUCUCUACCUUUGAGUGCGUUUCUUCCCCAAGCAGAGGAUUGGCUCGCCUUGCGAAGGAGAAUGGAAAUUCUCGUUGCACGCAUCAUCACACGUGGAUCCUUGACAGGUCUGGAGGCAAUUGGGGAAGGCACUACAACUGAACACAUUGCGCAUGAGUACACAGAGGAAUCCUGCCAAAAAAGUACACUGGGAACGAUUGGUAUUGUUCCGAAAAGUGCGAGGCAACAACGAAGAAGACCAACAAGAAGCCGGACUUUCUUCGAGAGUAUAAGCGGGCUCUUGCGUGGCAUGAAAUGUUUCAACUGGUCCACAAUGAUGCAGAACGUGAAAAUGAUGGGCCGUUUCUUAUCCGACUGUGGAAGCUAUGCGUCCCUCUGUUUUGGUCUAGGGGCCAUAACAAGUACCUCAUACUAGGCCAUCGGUUAUUGGCAGGUGUAAAUGGCUGGCUCGAACCAAGAGUGAAACACGACAUCAUUUGGAAUCGAACAUCGAAUUUGAGAGGUGGUGCAGGCAACAACUUAGCAUUGGAUUUAGUAAAUGAGUUUGAAAAUCUAGAGUUCAAAAAGUAAGUAUUGAAAAAUGGUGUUGGAAGAAAAUCCGCGUAGCUUUACAUAAUUUUUUUAAUCAUCUAGGAAAAUGUGAUUUAUAAAUUAUGUUUCUAUAUCAAAUUAUAAUACAUGUACAUUAUUUGUGCUGUUUGUCCAAAGUCCGUUUAGAAUUGGGGAAGGAAAACUUAAUUCAGUAACGAUAUUUUUUUUAUAG